rnacentral:rRNA from 1 species
UACGGCUCAGUAACACGUGGAUAACCUGCCCUUGGGUCCGGCAUAACCCCGGGAAACUGGGGAUAAUACCGGAUAACGCACAUAUGCUGGAAUGCUUUAUGCGUAAAAUGGAUUCGUCUGCCCAAGGAUGGGUCUGCGGCCUAUCAGGUAGUAGUGGGUGUAAUGUACCUACUAGCCAACAACGGGUACGGGUUGUGAGAGCAAGAGCCCGGAGAUGGAUUCUGAGACAUGAAUCCAGGCCCUACGGGGCGCAGCAGGCGCGGAAACUUUACAAUGCGGGAAACCGUGAUAAGGGGACACCGAGUGCCAGCAUCAUAUGCUGGCUGUCCGGGUGUGUAAAAUACACCUGUUAGCAAGGGCCGGGCAAGACCGGUGCCAGCCGCCGCGGUAACACCGGCGGCCCGAGUGGUGAUCGUGAUUAUUGGGUCUAAAGGGUCCGUAGCCGGUUUGGUCAGUCCUCCGGGAAAUCUGACGGCUCAACCGUUAGGCUUUCGGGGGAUACUGCCAGGCUUGGAACCGGGAGAGGUAAGAGGUACUACAGGGGUAGGAGUGAAAUCUUGUAAUCCCUGUGGGACCACCUGUGGCGAAGGCGUCUUACCAGAACGGGUUCGACGGUGAGGGACGAAAGCUGGGGGCACGAACCGGAUUAGAUACCCGGGUAGUCCCAGCCGUAAACGAUGCUCGCUAGGUGUCAGGCAUGGCGCGACCGUGUCUGGUGCCGCAGGGAAGCCGUGAAGCGAGCCACCUGGGAAGUACGGCCGCAAGGCUGAAACUUAAAGGAAUUGGCGGGGGAGCACA